rnacentral:rRNA from 1 species
UACGUAGGGGGCAAGCGUUGUCCGGAAUCAUUGGGCGUAAAGAGCGCGUAGGCGGCCCGAUAAGUCCGCUGUGAAAGUCAAGGGCUCAACCCUUGAAUGCCGGUGGAAACUGUCGGGCUAGAGUCCGGAAGAGGCGAGUGGAAUUCCCGGUGUAGCGGUGGAAUGCGCAGAUAUCAGGAGGAACACCGAUAGCGAAGGCAGCUCGCUGGGACGGUACUGACGCUAAGGCGCGAAAGCGUGGGGAGCGAACAGG